UACGUAGGGUGCAAGCGUUAAUCGGAAUUACUGGGCGUAAAGCGCGUGUAGGCGGCAAUGCAAGUCGGGCGUGAAAUCCCACGGCUCAACCGUGGAAGUGCACUCGAAACUGCAUAGCUAGAGUCCUGGAGAGGAAGGUGGAAUGCUUGGUGUAGAGGUGAAAUUCGUAGAUAUCAAGCGGAACACCGGUGGCGAAGGCGGCCUUCUGGACAGUGACUGACGCUGAGACGCGAAAGCGUGGGGAGCAAACAGG
rnacentral:rRNA from 1 species